UACGUAGGGGGCAAGCGUUGUCCGGAUUUAUUGGGCGUAAAGCGCGUGUAGGCGGCUUUGCAAGUCGGGUGUGAAAGCCCUCAGCUCAACUGAGGAAGUGCGCCCGAAACUGCAGAGCUUGAAUACCGGAGAGGAUGGCGGAAUUCCCCAAGUAGAGGUGAAAUUCGUAGAUAUGGGGAGGAACACCGGUGGCGAAGGCGGCCAUCUGGACGGAUAUUGACGCUGAGACGCGAAAGCGUGGGUAGCAAACAGG
rnacentral:rRNA from 1 species